AAGAGUAAUCUUUGGGAAGACAUGACACAAGAAACCCCUGGGCCCCUGAGGGUAGAUGACAGAAGUGGGAGAAGAAGGGAUCUCCACAGAAGCCUUGCUCCCCCCUGGGUGUGAGUGGCUCUGGAGACAACAAAUUGAGGUUCUGCUGUGAUGACAUCAAGCAGGGCAUCUUGACACAGCCUGGGGCAGAGAUGGGACAGGGAUCACAAAUGAGAUGUAACUGACAAUUACACACAAUACUUAUUAAUUUUUUAGAGGCUUGGAAAUAAAAUGAUUUCUUUUUA